GAUGAACGCUGGCGGCGUGCCUAAUACAUGCGAGUCGAGCGAAUGGAUUAAGAGCUUGCUCUUAUGAAGUUAGCGGCGGACGGGUGAGUAACACGUGGGUAACCUGCCCAUAAGACUGGGAUAACUCCGGGAAACCGGGGCUAAUACCGGAUAAUAUUUUGAACUGCAUGGUUCAAAAUUGAAAGGCGGCUUCGGCUGUCACUUAUGGAUGGACCCGCGUCGCAUUAGCUAGUUGGUGAGGUAACGGCUCACCAAGGCAACGAUGCGUAGCCGACCUGAGAGGGUGAUCGGCCACACUGGGACUGGGACACGGCCCAGACUCCUACGGGAGGCAGCAGUAGGGAAUCUUCCGCAAUGGACGAAAGUCUGACGGAGCAACGCCGCGUGAGUGAUGAAGGCUUUCGGGUCGUAAAACUCUGUUGUUAGGGAAGAACAAGUGCUAGUUGAAUGAGCUGGCACCUUGACGGUACCUAACCAGAAAGCCACGGCUAACUACGUGCCAGCCGCCGCGGUAA
rnacentral:rRNA from 1 species